rnacentral:lncRNA from 1 species
AUGUGGAUGAGGAUGGAUAGAUGAGGAUGUGGAUGAGGAUGGAUAGAUGAGGAUGUGGAUGAGGAUGGAUAGAUGAGGAUGUGGAUGAGGAUGUAUGGAUGAUGAUUGGAUAGGGGUAUACAUCCAAUGAAUGAAGUUUAUUGGUGUGAUGGACUGUACAAUGAUGUGUGAAUCCUCAAAGCAUAUUAUUUGUUGAAAUUUUGCUAAAAAUGUGAAUUGAUCAGGUGUCUGUUACAUGGUGGUGAUAAAUGUGGAUCAAACACUUAAAUGGUAAUAUAUAUCAUCAGAAUGCAAAUAUAUGUGUAUAAAGAGUUAUACA